rnacentral:rRNA from 1 species
CCUACUMCSGCGAYKYCUGAKGRGCGACGCCGCGUGGGGGAUGACGGUCUUCGGAUUGUAAACCCCUUUCMGUAGGGACGAAGCGCAAGUGACGGUACCUGCAGAAGAAGCACCGGCCAACUACGUGCCAGCAGCCGCGGUAAUACGUAGGGUGCGAGCGUUGUCCGGAAUUACUGGGCGUAAAGAGCUCGUAGGCGGUUUGUCGCGUCGUCCGUGAAAACUCGGAGCUUAACUCCGAGCUUGCGGGCGAUACGGGCAGACUUGAGUACUACAGGGGAGACUGGAAUUCCUGGUGUAGCGGUGAAAUGCGCAGAUAUCAGGAGGAACACCGGUGGCGAAGGCGGGUCUCUGGGUAGUAACUGACGCUGAGGAGCGAAAGCAUGGGUAGCGAACAGGAUUAGAUACCCUGGUAGUCCAUGCCGUAAACGGUGGGCGCUAGGUGUGGGGUCCUUCCACGGAUUCCGUGCCGUAGCUAACGCAUUAAGCGCCCCGCCUGGGGAGUACGGCCGCAAGGCUAAAACUCAAWAAW